rnacentral:rRNA from 1 species
UUCCGGUUGAUCCUGCCGGAGGUUACUGCUAUCGGUAUUCGACUAAGCCAUGCGAGUUAAAUGUUCUUCGUGAACAUAGCGAACUGCUCAGUAACACGUGGAUAACCUGCCCUUAGGUUCGGCAUAACUCCGGGAAACUGGAGAUAAUUCCGAAUAAACCAUUCCUGCUGGAAUGCUUUUUGGUUCAAAGACUUCGGUUGCCUAAGGAUGGAUCUGCGGUCUAUCAGGUAGUAGUGGGUGUAAGGUACCUACUAGCCUACGACGGAUAUGGGUUGUGAGAGCAAGAGCCCAGAGAUGGAUUCUGAGACAUGAAUCCAGGCCCUACGGGGCGCAGCAGGCGCGAAAACUUUACAAUGCGGGAAACCGCGAUAAGGGGAUACCGAGUGCCAGCAUAUUAUGUUGGCUGUCCACAUGUGUAAACGGCAUGUGUUAGCAAGGGCCGGGCAAGACCGGUGCCAGCCGCCGCGGUAACACCGGCGGCCCGAGUGGUAAUCACUUUUAUUGGGUCUAAAGGGUCCGUAGCCGGUUUGAUCAGUUCUUCGGGAAAUCUGACAGCUCAACUGUUAGGCUUCCGGGGAAUACUGUCAGACUUGGGACCGGGAGAGGUAAGAGGUACUACAGGGGUAGGAGUGAAAUCUUGUAAUCCCUGUGGGACCACCAGUGGCGAAGGCGUCUUACCAGAACGGGUCCGACGGUGAGGGACGAAAGCUGGGGGAGCAAACCGGAUUAGAUACCCGGGUAGUCCCAGCUGUAAACUAUGCAAACUCAGUGAUGCAUUGGCUUGU